AUACAGGUGAACGACAAUCAUGUGAUUAACACACACUCACACACACGCGCGCGCGCACAUAAAAAGCUUUUUAAGAGCGUCCAGCUUUCUCCAGACCCGAAGACGGGAGAGGAAACCCGGGCUAGGAGGAGCUGAGGCAGCGGCGGUGGCCGCGAUGGGGACGGCCACCGGGAUGGACGAGCCACCGCCUCUCCCCUUCCCGUGGAGGAAUUAAUAGCAAAGAGUCAUCUGGGGUGUCAUUCAAGCCCUGAUCAGCUCCCGGAGGAAUGCGAGGGAGAGCGAGCGAGGGAGCACGGCCUGAGGCUGAGGCACCAAAGCCAGGGCAGGAGCAGUUCGGCUGGUUACCAACGUUACUGGCCGGCAUUUGGGCAGCGGGACCAUCUUGCCCUUCACCCCAGCCUCCGUGUCCCCUCUGCCCUCUGCAGGGGCUCACCCCAACACCCGUACUCAAAGGGCUCCCACCAGCUCCUAAACUCGUCCCUUGUUACCCAUCACUUCAUCCCGGGGAGAAGAUGUCCCAACCCGUCAACACCGCAGCCUCCCUCCGCUGAGCCGGGAGGGAUGGGUCAGGCAACCAGGCGCCAGCACAAACCCAUCGCCCUCACGGUGGACGUGAACUCCAGCAGACACCCCCUCUCCAGGGCUCGCCCAUCACCCCCAGCCUGUGACGGCCAUGCUGUUUGUCCUCCCAAGCAAGUUUGCCUGUGGAGAGGGUCUCCAGGGAGCCCUCAAGCAUGGCUGGGGACAUGAGGCGGUAGCUCAGGGGACCACAAAUUUCGGUACUGAAGCCUUUGCCGCUGCAUCGUCUUGCCCAAUCUGACUUGGUCACUGCAAUUUCAGGAGAAAAAGAUCAGGCCAGUGAGUUAUCAUGCUAGUGUUUCACGGCGUUGCUUCACGGCCAUACGGGAAGGCUUGAAAGUGCUGCAUGGUGACACUGCAGCGUUGCCUGCAAUGGCAACCAGCUCCGGUGAGACAAGGAAAGAUUUUGGCCACAUUUCUACUAGCCUGAGAAGGAUACCUUGGAGUGGUCCAUCCUGUCCCGUGGUGCCCCAUCUCCCCUCUGCCUGGCCCACGUGACCACACCUGGUAGCCCAAGGUGACCCAAGGCUCUGGUGAUGCAACAUGGUCAACCCUACCACAUGGACUAUGGGGUCUUCAGGGCAACCUUUCGGGUCAGCCCUCGGUGUGCACACAGCCACAGCACAGCCCAUGAUCUGAGCUCACGAGCCGUCAGGCAGAUGGUGACCUGCAUGAAAUGUGAACGGAGCCAUGCUGGAGUGCACGAGUUGCUUUUGCUGGCCGAAAUGCAUCUCACCAAAGGUUCCCCUCCUCCCUACACGCACCAGGUCAGCACAAAACCAGGCUUAAACACCAGCUCUGCAUCUCAGCAUCCUCCGAGAGAUGCACGGUGCUGCCGAGAUGGAUGCCUCUACCCCCUCCCCAACUCGCUGUACCACCACCACCACAAUAAGUGCGCCUUGUCGUAGAGGGGUUAAUAAAUGAUGCAAGAAAGGAGCCCUUUAA